rnacentral:rRNA from 1 species
GAUGAACGCUGGCGGCGUGCCUAAUACAUGCAAGUCGAGCGGUAACACUUCGGGUGACGAGCGGCGGACGGCUGAGUAACGCGUAGGAAUGUACCCCAAACUGAGGGAUAAGCACCAGAAAUGGUGUCUAAUACCGCAUAUGGUCUUCGGAUUAAAGCUUCGGCGGUUUGGGAACGGCCUGCGUAUGAUUAGCUUGUUGGUGAGGUAAAAGCUCACCAAGGCGACGAUCGUUAGCUGGUCUGAGAGGAUGAUCAGCCAGACUGGGACUGAGACACGGCCCAGACUCCUACGGGAGGCAGCAGUAGGGAAUCUUCCACAAUGGGCGAAAGCCUGAUGGAGCAACGCCGCGUGCAGGAUGAAAGCCUUCGGGUCGUAAACUGCUUUUAUAUGCGAAGACUUCGACGGUAGCAUAUGAAUAAGGAUCGGCUAACUCCGUGCCAGCAGCCGCGGUCAUACGGAGGAUCCAAGCGUUAUCCGGAAUUACGU